UUAGCAUGCUUUUUCUCAACAGAGGUUGCGUGUUCCUUGCUAUUUAAAAACUACCGUGUUUGGUCAUCCCGGAGUUGGGCAUCACCAUCUUCACAGUUGCGGGUCAAUAUGCUGGGGUUUUCGCGGUAGUAACAAUUGCGACUUCAGAUUCGUGAGGUAGUCGGGGGAAAUGUACAAGAUGAUUUCAGAUCAGGAAGUGAAGGGAUUCGGUGGGGGCGAGUGAAAUCUCAGAAGGGGUGGAUUCGGUGGGGGUAGGAUGAAAUCUUAGUAGUGGUGGGAAAUGAACUAAUGUGGUAUGUUAAUCCAAACAUUUGGUCUCUUUCUUCUUUUCGAUUUUUUGACCAAAUUGGUCAAUCACCAAAAACUCAUUGUACACAUCAAUUUUUAAAUUUCUGUAUGGGUUCUAUCAGCCGUCUUCUAUACAAGAGGCUUUAGUGUAGAGCAAUGCAACUAUGUGUACAGAAGACGGUUGACAGAAGAAUUCCAGAUGAGCUAUCAAUCGUUUUUAGUGAAAAAAAAAAACUAACCAUUUUUUGAACGAGCAAAUGUCAAAUUUUUUUUAUUCCAACCAAAUCCCACUUUCUUCUCGCUGAACCCACAUCGUGAAUCAUUAAUUCCUAUGAACUCCUUCAGGUUUUCUUCGCCAUCUCUACCUGCUAUCUAUCCUUUGAACAAUAAAGAAGUCAAUAUCUCUAUCUUUGUAAUAUUACUAACUGCAUAAACCCUUUAUUCCUACUAAUUUUGCCGUCGCUAUCAUCAUAAUCUCUGGCUGUCGGCGAUGUCUCAAACGUGGAACUAUCACCGAUUUCAUAGCAUUUUAAAAUGGUAAGAUUUGAAGGUGUUUCAAAAAAUUAUUUAUGGGUUUUUUCACACUCACUGUACACUUUAAGAUUUUUGGGUUUUUGAACAAAUUAGGACUUGAUGUUUUGUUGAAGAUAUGGGAUAUGUAUGAGAUUGUUGAGAAGUUGUGAAAUGGACAUAGUUUGUAUUUUGGUAAAAGUAUAAUGCAGUGCCUAUUUCAUAAAAUUGAGCAGGAAUGGCAAUCAAAGUGCACUAUCACAAUUAACUUAAGUUACAAUAUUUGGGAAAAGUCUACCAAACUUUGUACAUCUUUUAAUCAAGAAAGUAUGACAAUUAGCAUGCUUUUUCUCAAUAGAGGUCCUUGGGUUCCUUGUUAUUUGAAGACUACAUUUUUGGCCAUCAUCGGAGUUGGACAUCACCAUCUUCACAGUCGGGGUGUGAUGUUGUUGCGGGUAAGUAUGUUGGGGUUUUCAUCAUAGCCGACAGUUGUGACUUUAGAUUUGGGAGGUAGUCGAUGGAAAUGUAUAAGAUGACUUCAGAUCCAAAAGUGGAGGAUUCGGCAGGGGCGGGUGAAAUCUUU
rnacentral:lncRNA from 1 species